AGUGAACGCUGGCGGUAGGCCUAACACAUGCAAGUCGAACGGCAGGACAGUAAGAGCUCGCUUUUACGGGUGGCGAGUGGCGGAUGGGUGAGGCAUAGAUCGGAAUCUACUUUUUCGUGGGGGAUAACGUAAGGACACUUACGCUAAUACCUCAUACGAUCUACGGGUGAAAUCAGGGGAUCUUCGGACUUUUCGUGUUUGUUUGAGCUGAUGCCGGAUUAGCUAGUUGGCAGGGUAAAGGCACACCAAGGCAACGAUCCGUAGCUGGUCUGAGAGGAUGAUCAGCCACACUGGAACUGAGACACGGUCCAGACUCCUACGGGAGGCAGCAGUAGGGAAUAUUGGGCAAUGGGCGAAAGCCUGAUGCAGCCAUACCGCGUGAGUGAUGAAGGCCUUCGGAUCGUAAAACUCUGUUGUUAGGAAAGAAAAGAUGUGUGUGAAAACCCCGAUGUUCUGACGGUACCCAAAGAGAAAGCACCGGCUAACUUCGUG
rnacentral:rRNA from 1 species